CUCUCAUCCACACUCAGCCCAGAGGGCCUCCACCUGCCCCACCCCCACCAUGAGCCCCUGCCUCCUGGGCUGUGUGGUCUUCUGUCUCCUGCAGGCAGGGGUGGUCCAUGCUGGUGUCACUCAGGACCCCAGAUUCCAGGUCGUGAGGACAGGGCAGAGGGUGACACUGAGAUGCACUCAGGAUCUGAGCCACGAUUAUAUGUACUGGUACCGACUAGACCUGGGACACGGGCUGAGGCUGAUCCAUUACUCAGCUGCUGCUCCCAACACGGAGAAAGGAGACGUGCCCAAGGGCUACAGCAUCUCCAGACCAAGCACAGAGGACUUCCCUCUCACGCUGGAGUCUGCCAACCGCUCCCAGACAUCUGUGUACUUCUGCGCCAGCAGUUACUCCACGGCGCUGCACGGCCACCUCCUUUCUGUGCAAAAAGCAGAUGAGAGCCCUGUAAUCUGGAACUUGGAGAGCCCCUUGCAGGCUCCUAGCACCUGCAGACUUGGAGCCCACAGACACAUACUGGCAGCAUAG